UGGGGAAUAUUGCACAAUGGGGGAAACCCUGAUGCAGCAACGCCGCGUGAGUGAUGACGGCCUUCGGGUUGUAAAGCUCUGUCUUCAGGGACGAUAAUGACGGUACCUGAGGAGGAAGCCACGGCUAACUACGUGCCAGCAGCCGCGGUAAUACGUAGGUGGCAAGCGUUGUCCGGAUUUACUGGGCGUAAAGGGAGCGUAGGCGGACUUUUAAGUGAGAUGUGAAAUACCCGGGCUCAACCUGGGUGCUGCAUUUCAAACUGGAAGUCUAGAGUGCAGGAGAGGAGAGUGGAAUUCCUAGUGUAGCGGUGAAAUGCGUAGAGAUUAGGAAGAACACCAGUGGCGAAGGCGACUCUCUGGACUGUAACUGACGCUGAGGCUCGAAAGCGUGGGGAGCAAACAG
rnacentral:rRNA from 1 species